UUUGUCUCAAAAAAAUACCAAAAACCAAAAACAACAAAAACAAAAAACAUCAAAAGACUAUGAGAAACAGUGAUUGGAUGUUUGGGGUGUGGAUAUCGGAAUCUGGAGCUGGGGACAGGUGUGUCAUUUGAUAGUCCCUUUUGAGAACCACUGUUGAUCUAAAGCUAUUCCAGUUCCCUAGGGGAUUGCUAAUAACCGGUGCAGCUGCUGAGACAGGGAAAGGGGCCUAAUUCCUUUUGCAAAACAAGGAGCAAUAUUUAUAUGAGAACUCAGUACAUUUCAUCACAUAAAAAUUGCAAAACGCCAGGCUCUGUCAUUUUUAAACUAAUAUUUUUGGGAGUCCACCAAACAGUCUCUAAGAUGGAACUGAUUGUGAAUAUGCUGGUGCCAGGUGCAAUGGCUCACACCUGUAAUCCCAGCUACUUGGGAGGCUGAGGUGGGAGGAUCACCUGAAGCCAGGAGUUCGAGGCCAGCCUGGGCCUCUCUAAAAAAAAAAAAGCUGUAAGUCAAAUGAUAUAGCCUCUAGAAGCCACAGUUUGCUCAUUUACAAACUGGAGGAGAAUAAGAUGAGAAUUGUCUGAUAUUGAGGAUCAGAAAGUGCUUCAUGAUGCAUAAAGCAGGUAAUGGAUUAUCAAUGCUUUGCUGCUCAGACACACAGCAAUGGGUUCAUACCAUUCUGAGAGUCUAAAUUUAGGACGUGGUGUGACCAAAAUUACCAGUAAUUAAGUUUCUUAUGUUUCUGAGGCUCUGCUUCCUCAUCUGUACACUGUGGCAAGACCUUGUUCUGACUAUGCACUGAGGAUAAAAUAAGGCCUUUUGAAAAAGAUGAUGACACUGACCACUAAUUAAUGAUUUCAAUGUUCCCGUCCAAGGUCAGGCAAAAGCAAUGCAGAGCCAUAGAGAAUGUUGGUGCAACACUGCCCUCUGCUGGUCAGUAGCAGCACCACCAUGGUUACAGAGAGGAAAAGGUCUUUACAAAGGGAUUCCUGGGAAACUGAGGCAGAGAGUGGAAGGGAUUUGCUCAAGGGCACAGAGUUAGCUUUGGACAAAGUGAUGGCUCGAAUCUGAGAUUCCUAAUUCCUAGUUCUUUCUAGAGGGAGAAAAAUAAGGGCUGGAAACUAGUGGAUUGUCGUUUCACUCUCACUAGGCUCUGCACGGCAUUUUAAAUAGGCUGAUUGGAAUUUCUCUCUCCUGUUCUUCCCUUGCCACCCAAACUGCUCGGGUUUCUUGUCCUUUUCUUCAUACCAGGAUAACCAUCUGUGUGGCCCCAUAAGGCCCAAAGUCCUCUUGGGUGCUGCCGGAGGUCCAACAACCAGUAAAGCACGGAAGCUGGGAUCUGAACACUCACUUGAGACCCCAAGGCCCACAAUCUAUUUGCCACCAAAAAACAAGACAAAGCAAAACACCAUGGACUGGAUCCUGGACCUGCCCCUGGGACUUGCGGAAGGGGACAGCUCAAUCUGAGCCAUAUCAACUGAGAACACAGGAAGCAUGGUCCUACCAAGAGAUGUCUAUUCCAGGUAUGGUGGAGCCUCAGAGGACAGCAUGACUCUCGUUCAGCUGGUGGAUCAGGGAAUGGUCCAAUAAGCCACAGCUGUGGAUAUGAAGGUCUGUUGAUUUCAGAUUGAGCUAUAGGGGGAUACUGGGCAUGGCAGAAAAAUCUAUCAAUCUCUGCUAUAGUUAAAUAUUUGAAUAUUGGAUUGUUUGCAGAUCUUGUGAAAUCAGUGACCUCUGGGUCAUGUAGAAACCCAGCACAUUCCCACAGGACACAGCCUAGCAGUUGAUCAGAGCAGUAGUUCAUACCUGAGACCCUGGAUUUUCAGACCCUCCCCCAGGCCCCACCAGCCUCUGUCAGUGCCAAGCUGGACGGAACAAACCACAUGAGGUUGGUCAGGCCUCUACCCCAUGGAAAAACACAGAAUGGUGAUUUUUUGCCUGUACAUUCCUGGACAAAUAAAUUCUCUUUUGGGAGCUUUUUCCUGGCUGGGCUAUGUUAUAUGCCUCAGAGCUGCCCAGAUCCCCUGGAAACCCAAAGAUUUCCUUCCAUGUGUAGGACUCAUUCAGCCCCAGCUCAGAGGACUGUUUCAUGGGUACUGGUGGCAGGAAUUCUUGGUUGUCUUCAAUGUCUGGCUCCCUGAUUUUCGGUAGGGAACAUGGUCAGCAGAAUGAGGAUGGCAUUUCCUACCUUCUACUGCAGGUGGGCAGAACCAAGGUGCCCUCCCUACACCUUCCUGGGGCCUCCAGCGAUCCUGAGCUCAGCCUCCUGACCUGCAGACCCCUCAGCUCUGGCCCUCACGUCCUGCUUGCUGUACCUGCUUUAUCCCAUAUCACCAUCUCCAUUCCUCAGCAUAGUGACAAUCCCAGUUCCUACCCAUUCCACUGGCUUCUCCAUUUGGCUUGGAGCUCUUUAGCUGGAUUGAGACGACUACUCUGAUGAGUGCCAUGUCACUGGCUCAACAAAAUGGGCCCAAGUGAGUCAAUGUCAUUGACAUGAAGGUGCUGUCAGUUUGGUGGGAACCAAGGGAAUGAGACUGUGUUUUAGCUGCGUUCGUUUGAACAGUUACACACUUAGGGCUUCUUAUGCGGAUGCUCAGAGAGAAAUAUGGAAGACGAGAUCUCGUAGAAAACAAGAAGACAUGUUGUAAAUGAGUCAGGCCUCCUGGAGUCCAGGACUAGGGAGGAACUCUUUAUUGAGGAUCACUCGAGGGAGUCUUGGGGCUGGUGGUCUUCACGCCACAGCCCCAUAACUCAGCUCCUCUCUUCCUUCUCUCAGUCUCUCUGCUUCUGUUUUUUGUCUCAUGUCCUAAAUGUCCAACUAUUCAGCAUAACUUUAUUCUGCUUCCCCUCUCUAUCCUCUGUAGCAAAAUGCACUGUUGGAAUUACAUUUUUAUUUUUAUUUUUAUUUUUAUUUUUUUAAGACGGA
rnacentral:lncRNA from 1 species